GAAGCCAAUGUUGUCACAUAAGCGUGUGUUUGUUUAUUCAGAUCUCUCUGCAUGAAGUUGUUCAUCUUGUCAAUCUGCAGGCGCGGACAUUUGGUGGCCACUGGCGAAGUUGAAGAUCAGAACGCAGAGAGCGAUUGGAAUCAUACGGGCUGUUAGAACUGGCCCUGACUUCGUGUACAAUGCAAGAUCACAUCUUUGUCCCCUACCAAGACGAAGUUGAGAUUGGAUGUACAGCAGGAGCUCGUGACCUUCGGCCUUUUACGAAGCACUAACACAAACACACCCUAAGUCCUUUUGCCUUCUAUGGCCAUGAAUGGUUCAAAGAGUAUAGUUGAAAUGGUGAUAAAACGAAUGUGUUUGUGCUGGCUUCGUCGGAGACUCCACCUAAAGGAAGUAGAAGUCGGCAAACUCAGCUUUUGCGCUACCGAGUUCGAUAUAUGCUCGUCUAGAACGAAGUCGGCCGAAAUGUGCGUAUCGCUGCCGAUUUCAGUGAGUAGGAGUCGGUGAAAUUACUUGAUUCGCCCCCGACUUCACCUCACUUUUUUUAACUCUCCUCAUUCUCCACAAAUUAGCUCUCUCUCAAAAUAUUAAGGUUUCUCUAGAAUUAUUCUGAGAUGGGUCAUCUCAAGAUGGGAUUGAACGAAGAGAUUUUCCCAUCAUCACUUUAAAAAAAGGCACAAGUGAUGAACAAAACAGCCUCAGUUGCUUACUUUUGUUGAACAAUUGCCGCCGAAAGAAGAAGUUCCCAUGUGCUAGAUCUAUAGCAUGGUCAGUGAUCAUAAGCGUCAGGAUUGAGCAUGGCCCAAAUUCUGAUAGGUUACUCUUUAGAAUCAUAUGGGGCUUAUUAUGAAUCAUUAGAGCCAGAGUCCAAAUGAAGUUUUAUUUCCUCUCAUCUGCACACAACUGUGUAAAGUUAAAGAAUUUUACAUAAAUUCAAAAUUGAAAACAAUGACCGUAAAAUUGAAAUGUAAGUUAGUUAUAUUACU